rnacentral:rRNA from 1 species
UACGUAGGGUGCGAGCGUUGUCCGGAAUUAUUGGGCGUAAAGAGCUCGUAGGCGGUCUGUCGCGUCUGCUGUGAAAACUCAGGGCUUAACCCUGAGCUUGCAGUGGGUACGGGCAGACUAGAGUGCGGUAGGGGAGACUGGAAUUCCUGGUGUAGCGGUGAAAUGCGCAGAUAUCAGGAGGAACACCGGUGGCGAAGGCGGGUCUCUGGGCCGUAACUGACGCUGAUGCACGAAGGUCAGGGGAGCAAACGGG